rnacentral:rRNA from 1 species
UACAUGGGGUGCAAACGUUGCUCGGAAUUAUUGGGCGUAAAGCGCGCGUAGGCGGUUAUCUAAGUCGGAUGUGAAAGCCCUCGGCUUAACUGAGGAAGUGCACCCGAAACUGGAUAGCUAGAGUACGAAAGAGGGUCGCGGAAUUCCCGGUGUAGAGGUGAAAUUCGUAGAUAUCGGGAGGAACACCGGUGGCGAAGGCGGCGACCUGGUCCGAUACUGACGCUGAGGCGCGAAAGCGUGGGGAGCAAACAGG